AUACGGAGGAUCCGAGCGUUAUCCGGAUUUAUUGGGUUUAAAGGGUGCGCAGACGGCCAUUUAAGUCAGCGGUUAAAUCGUGGGGCUCAACCCCAUUCUGCCGUUGAUACUGGGUGGCUUGAUUGCGGUCGAGGUUGGCGGAACAGGUGAAGUAGCGGUGAAAUGCAUAGAUAUCACCUGGAACCCCGACAGCGAAGGCAGCUGACCAGGCUGUAACUGACGCUGAUGCUCGAGAGCGUGGGUAGCGAACAGGAUUAGAUACCCUGGUAGUCCACGCCGUAAACGAUGCUCACUGGCCCUGGGCGACGUACAGUCCGGGGUCGAGCGAAAGUAAAAGUGAGCCACCUGGGGAGUACGUCGGCAACGAUGAAACUCAAAGGAAUGGACGGGG
rnacentral:rRNA from 1 species